rnacentral:rRNA from 1 species
UACGGAGGAUUCAAGCGUUAUCCGGAUUUAUUGGGUUUAAAGGGUGCGUAGGCGGGCUGUUAAGCCGGCGGUAAAAAUUCAGGGCUCAACCCUGUCGAGCCGUCGGAACUGGCAGUCUUGAGUGGGCGAGAAGUAUGCGGAAUGCGUGGUGUAGCGGUGAAAUGCAUAGAUAUCACGCAGAACUCCGAUUGCGAAGGCAGCAUACCGGCGCUCAACUGACGCUGAGGCACGAAAGUGUGGGUAUCGAACAGG